rnacentral:misc_RNA from 1 species
GCACCUACCGAUUGAAUGGUCCGGUGAAGCCUCGGGAUUGUGGCGAGUUCCCUCUAUUGGGAGUUUGUCGCGAGAACUUGUCUAAACCUUAUCAUUUAGAGGAAGGUGAAGUCGUAACAAGGUUUCCGUAGGUGAACCUGCAGAAGGAUCAAUAUCGGUUGAGCGUCGUGUAGGUCAAGAGUGUAGUUCUCGGUGUUCUCCUUCUCUUUUUCUACAUAUUCUUUUUUUUUCUUUUUCUUUUUUCUUUUUUUCUUCUUUUUAUUUUCUCUUUUUAUUU